rnacentral:rRNA from 1 species
UACGAAGGGGGCUAGCGUUGCUCGGAAUGACUGGGCGUAAAGGGCGCGUAGGCGGAUGGCACAGUCAGAUGUGAAAUUCCCGGGCUUAACCUGGGGGCUGCAUUUGAUACGUGUUGUCUUGAGUUCGGAAGAGGGUCGUGGAAUUCCCAGUGUAGCGGUGAAAUGCGUAGAUAUCAGGAGGAACACCUGUGGUGUAGGCAGCUUACUGGACCACUUCUGACGCUGAGACACGAAAGCGUGGGUAGCAAACAGG